rnacentral:rRNA from 1 species
GAUGAACGCUGGCGGCGUGCCUAAUACAUGCAAGUCGAGCGAACGGACGAGAAGCUUGCUUCUCUGAUGUUAGCGGCGGACGGGUGAGUAACACGUGGAUAACCUACCUAUAAGACUGGGAUAACUUCGGGAAACCGGAGCUAAUACCGGAUAAUAUUUUGAACCGCAUGGUUCAAAAGUGAAAGACGGUCUUGCUGUUACUUAUAGAUGGAUCCGCGCUGCAUUAGCUAGUUGGUAAGGUAACGGCUUACCAAGGCAACGAUGCAUAGCCGACCUGAGAGGGUGAUCGGCCACACUGGAACUGAGACACGGUCCAGACUCCUACGGGAGGCAGCAGUAGGGAAUCUUCCGCAAUGGGCGAAAGCCUGACGGAGCAACGCCGCGUGAGUGAUGAAGGUCUUCGGACCGUAAAACUCUGUUAUUAGGGAAGAACAUAUGUGUAAGUAACUGUGCACAUCUUGACGGUACCUAAUCAGAAAGCCACGGCUAACUACGUG